ACAGAACCAAUCAGAGGCCAGAUUCUGCUGUUCCUCCGACCUCCACGUGGAGAUAAUCGAAUACUUGAUGUAUUUCUGCUGCAGGACAACAUUCCUUUGAGUGAGAUUGCUGCCCAACAAGGGCCAGCUGAGUACAUCGCUGCCCCUUCCAAGUGUCGUCUCAGCAGUGGUCAAAGUUACAGUGUUCAAUGUGAACAGGCCUCCAAAGUACAGCCUGAGCAUGUACAAUUUGACAAAGACUAUGGACCAAAUUUCUACCCAACAUUUGAGCUUUUCCUCCCUGC